rnacentral:rRNA from 1 species
GUGGUGCGUGGGGUGGUGGGGGAGGGGGCCCAGAUUUUUAUAGGUCUCGGAAGGGGGUAGGGUGGGUGGUAGGGUUAGGCUGGUUUGGGAUCCUUUAGACGGCCGGUACCGCUACAGCCUAGAGCGCCGGCGCCACUAGAGGUUCCGGUUGCCGCCGCACCUGCCGCUCCUCGGCCACCUCUAGGCCCUCCACACCCGCCUGUUGGACCUCCGCCUCAAGCGCGACUAGGCGCUGCAGCAGCUGCUCAAGGGGAAGCAGCGGUACCUGUGGCUUAAGGGCCCGUAGCAGACGGCGGGGCAGCCGCGGAAGGCGAGGGGCCGGCUGAUGUUGAUGCGGUGGGAGUUCCGGUUGCAGCUGUACGACGUGGAGUAGGUCGACCCCGAGUGGAAGAGCCCGGGGUGCCCGCUCGAGGGACGGGAGCCGCGGCCUGCGGCGGCUACGCAGACCGUCAAGUUGAAGGCCCUCAAGCUGCUGCUCGCGCUGUAGAAGCGGUGGCUGAGGUAGCUCGACGAGGCGGUGUCGCCGUAGCUGAAGGCGGCGUUGCGGCUCGCUCCGCAGCUGCGGGCGGCUAAACGCCUCGACGAGUACAGGAGCCCGCAACACGAGUUACUGCGGCAGAUGACCCACUGGAAGGUGCGCCCUAUGCUGAAGCCGAUGGACGAGUUUUAGGAGUGGACAUUGUCGGAGGGUCUGUGUGUCCGACCCAAGAAGUUCGACUACUUCUAUAUAAAGGGGUGGCAGAUACUGUAGUUCGUAGAGUACUUCAAGACGUUGUCGGACGUGCCGCCCGACUUGUUCGAGCGGCUCAACGAGCUACACCUCGCACAACCUCUCAGUGUAGUCCGGCCCAGGCUAUCGGACCAGUGCAGAACACGCAAGACCUUUGAGUUCCUAAGGAAGAAACGACCUAGUUGGCUCUUUAUACGUCCGCACGACAUACCCGAGUUGCGUCUCUUACCACAGUCACGUGUAACUACCUACUACGAGGGAAGCUUAUCGAGACACUUACCCAACUAAAUCCUGUCUUUCUCCACCGCUCACUCGAUCGUCCGUUUUACUACGGUUGAAAGUACAUGCCUAAUACGUGUCCUCAAUUUCAGGGUCAUUAAAUUAAGUAGGACCUGUACAAAAAAGUACUACGCUACGACUAGUCUUGUUCAUAUAGACAGAAUUCUAUUAUUCGAUAACGACAACUACGAUUAAUGGAAUUAGAGGACACUCUGAACCUAAACCAUAGAUGAGGUUUGAUGUAAGUUCUCUAUACGUAAUCUAAAUAAAUGAAAGAAACGGUUGUUGGCUGAUUCAUCCCCUCAAGAGUAGCGUUCAAUGUAGGAAGCUGUGUAAGAGGACGAAACUUUGGAGAUGAUAAUCUGACAACUAACGAAACCACGAUUGUGUGAGAAGAGGAAUGACUCAAUAGAAGCUUACAACUUCACACAGAAAACCUCCAUCUGCCGUCCUGACCACCGAAACGUAUUAACUCCCCAUAUCAACGGUCACACCGACAAACGUAGGUCAGUUUCUUUUUUACCUCUGUCAUAGAUGUAAAUCGUUAAUGUAGAGGUAAAUGGGAAAAUGUGGAUAUUAAGUGAAUGUACGAAUGAAAACGUCGAGAAGGAAUAACCACGUCCAAGAUCGUCUACUAGAGGACCUUCUUUUGAUUCGAAUCGAGUUUAGUCAAGGUAGGUUUGAAAUAUAUAACAAUUCCAUACGGGCUGUGCAUGAACAGAUCGUACAGUAAGAACUUCGCCCACGUCAAGACCGCAAUAUGAAUAAAACGGUUAGACACGUAUAAAAAAUGACUCCCUCCGAUGUAACACAAUCACAUAGUUUUACUUGGGGAGGUACAGUAGCAAUAGUGGUUCCACGGUCGUCGUUGGUAGAGGUUGUUGCUCCGAGAAUAAUACCGGCCCAAUACCGGUCAACGAAAUUACAUAGAAAACCUCUAUUUUACUGUCUAGUAAGUCGUGACUACCGAAAAGUAUUAAUUUCCAUUACCUCCCGACAUUAAACGGACGCAACAACGCAAGUAAGUUUCUUUUUACACUCCGUCAUAUAAGAGCUAAGAAGUAAUUCGGGGAAGGGAAUAAGUAAAUGUACAAGAUCGUCUGUACUGUUAGAGUACCUCUCUUGAUCCGAAUCGAGUGUAGUCAAACGUAGGUUCGAAACCUAUAUAGUUC